AUUUGAAUUUUGUAUUUAUAAAUUACAUUUUUAAAAUUAUAAAAUUAUAUAUAUAAUUACUAAAAUUAUUUAAUAACAAUUAUAAAACAAAACACAAAAUAAAUUAUGCACAUCUAAGUAAUGAAAUAUAUAUAUAAGAUAUUCGUCUAAAUGUAUAAAUUACUUUACAUGUUAUUCAUAUAACUAUAUUUUAGAUUAUUAGUUGAAAAUAAUCGUGACAAAAAAUUAGAUUAGCUGCGCAAAAAGGCAAAUAUGUCAUGGUAGGUGUUCAAAAUCGAUUGAAUUAAGCUCAUCAACAAUUGACUUAAGUUUAAAAAUCGAUUGAUUUUGAUGCUUCUUUGCAUUGAAUCAAUUCACGAAUCUCCAAUUCGCCUAAUUCCUUAAAUUAAAAUCCAUUACUCCACAAAAAUUGUAACGUUCUGACCGCCCUUACCAGUGGGCUCCAUUUCCUCUCUAGGGCCCAUGAACCCACAUAUGUCCGACUGUUGGUCUGCUAUUUCAGGAAAACUUUAAAGACUUAUUUACCAAUCCUACAAAUCACCACAUGAUCUUUCCUUAUGUUUUGUUUUCACUCACACAGUUCCGACAAUCACUUUCCAGAAGGUUACUCAUCCUGAAACCUUUCUAGCUCAAGCAUGCUUAACUGUAGAGUUCUCUCAAGAUGUUUGACCCAAAAGAUAAACUGCACUUUGGUGACAUAAGUGGCCAAAUCAAUUCUUUUAAAACCCUUAUGCAUGCACCACCAUAUUCCUGAAACUGGAGUGUUACAGUAAUCGUUUAAUUUUGUCAACAAAAUUAGUGAAGAAGAAGAUGAAGAAAUUGGAAAUAAUGGUGAAAGUGACCGAUUUAAUACAUGUUUGAAGAUCAAACGACGAAAACUUCGUCGGAAAUGAAGAUUGGAGCUCGGAAGUUCUUGCCGAAGCUUCACGAAGCUCUCGCCGGAUAUGACGAUCGGAGAUCAGAUCUCUCGCUGAUGAUGCGUUUUCUACGAUUUCUUAUAUUCGAUCAAAGAUUUUAAUUAUAUUAUUAUUUAAAUUAUUUAAAAAAUAUAAAUAAAGAAAGAAUGCUAUUUGUGUCCCAAUUGAAAUACUUUUCGAAGCAAUUUCUCUCUAGUAUUUAUUUUUUAUACAUGCAUAAAAUGUAUGUAAAUAUUUUUUUUUAACUAAAACUACUAUUUACUUUUUCUAAAUAACAAUUUAUGGUAAGAAAUGUUUAGUUUAUUUUAAUUAAAAUUUAAUAUACAAUAAAAAAAAACCUCGCAUGUUAGACAAGUAUAAUCUAUUGUUAUUUAUAAUCAUGGGCUUUUUGGUUUCACCAUUAUCGUUGCCAAUUAUUAUUUUAUUAUUUUCGUUUUUUU
rnacentral:sRNA from 1 species